rfam:Crassostrea gigas strain 05x7-T-G4-1.051#20 contig16720, whole genome shotgun sequence.
CGCCAGAUAGCUCAGUUGGUAGAGCACCUGACAAGAGAUUCAGGGGGCCAGGGUUUGAAUCCCGGUCUGGUCC